UAAACCGGGGAGCCUGUUGAGUUAGAG
rnacentral:piRNA from 1 species